UCUCAUUUGUUUGCAUCACACCGGAUUGGAUUGACAUCCUAAAAUACUACAACGACAGGAUAGUGUUUUAGGAUUAAUUGAGAAAAAUCCUACUAUCAUCAAGCCAGAUUACAAUGAUGGUGGGUUUCUAGUAUCAAUCCUAAAUCAGGAUUCAAACAACAAAAAUGAGAACUUAGGAGCCCUACUCGAUCAUUGGGUCGAGUAGAACCAACAUGAGAAAAAUCCUACUAUCAAUUUGGCGCCGUUGCUAGUUUGGUGUUUGUUUGCUAUAUUUGAGAUCAUUAGAAACGUUAAGAUCAAGUUCGUUUUUGUUACACAAGUUACUAACAUUGUGCCUUUUCUGUCUUUGUGUUUCAGGUACCUUGCAACCCGCUUUACAGACGCAUCUCUGAUUCGUCUGUUAUAGCCCGACUGCUAUCUGUUGCAUGU
rnacentral:sRNA from 1 species